rnacentral:snRNA from 1 species
NNNNACUAAAAUUGGAAUGAUACAGAGAAGAUUAGCAUGGCCCCUGCACAAGGAAGACAUGCAAAUUCAUAAAGCGUUCCAUAUUAAA